GAUUCAGCCCUUUGUCGCUAAG
rnacentral:snRNA from 1 species